rnacentral:rRNA from 1 species
CCCUUAGAUGUCCUGGGCCGCACGCGUGCUACACUGAUGCAUACAGCGAGUACUCCCAGCUCCGAGAGGCUGCUGGUAAUCAGCAAUAUGCAUCGUGAUGGGGAUAGAUCUUUGGAAUUAUAGAUCUUGAACGAGGAAUUCCUAGUAAUCGCGGGUCAUCACCCUGCGUUGACUAAGUCCCUGCCCUUUGUACACACCGCCCGUCGCUCCUACCGAUUUCGAGUGAUCCGGUGAAUCAUUCGGACCGCGGCCCCUAGGCAUGCGGAAAGUCUAGUAAACCAUAUCACUUAGAGGAAGGAGAAGUCGUAACA